AUGAAGUUUUCAGUAUCAAAAACUCAAUAUAUGGUUUUCUCAAGGAAAAAGAAAAUUGAACAGAUUACACUGAAGUUAUAUGAUCAACUGUUAGAAAGAGUGAUAGAGUUUAAGUAUCUUGGUUUAAUCUUUGAUGAGAAGAUGACUUGGAAACAACAUAUUAAGAAAAUUGAAAAUAAAUGCAAAAGAGUAAUAAAUUGUAUGACCUCAAUAACUAAAUAUGAAUGGGGAGCAAGGAAAAGUGCAAUGUUAUGUAUAUAUCAAGCCCUAGUACGUUCUAGCAUAGAUUACGGAUGUGCAGUGUAUGGUGAUGCAGCUAAAUCUCAGUUAAAGAAACUGGAGAACAUACAAUCUAGAGCGCUUAGAAUCUGCUGUGGAGCUAUAAGAUCAACUCCUCUAGAUGCUGUCAGGGUUGAAAUGGGGGAAAUGCCAUUAGAUCUGAGAAGAGAAAAGCUUGCAAUGAUGUAUUGGGCUAACUUAAAAGGUGGUAAGAAGAAUCAUUGUACACGCGUAAUAUUAAAUGACUGUUGGGAAUACAAAAAGAAUGGAGGAAAUAGCUUUGGCUGGAAAUAUGGACAGUGGGUCAAGGAUUAUGGUAUAGAGGAUGAAGCAAUUUGUCCUAACUUGCCAUUAAGUGGUGUGGCAGUGUGGAAUAUUACUGAACCUGUUGUUGAAAUGAGAUUAUUGGAGGCUCGGGAAAAAGCAGAAGAAAUAUGCAGUAAUAGUUAUAGAGUUAAUGUUUUUAUGAGAGAAAACUUUAAUUCUUUUGUGCAGAUUUACACAGAUGGAUCUAAGGAUCCAAUUGAGCAAAAAGUGGGCAUAGGAGUGUAUAUUCCAAAUUUUAAGACAGAAAUAAGCUUGAGGCUAAGUAACAAACUGUCUGUGUACUCUACUGAGCUAACUGCAAUUAUAGUAGGACUACAAUGGGUUGAACAGGUUAGGCCAAACAGGAUAUUAAUUUGCUCAGAUUCUUCAUCAGCUCUUAAAAGUAUAAAGUCUACAAAAAGUGAUAGAGAAGACCUGUUAGUGGAAAUUUAUACUUUAUUGUACAGAUUGAAAAUGGAAGGUAUAAUUGUAUAUUUUUGUUGGGUGCCAGCACAUAUCGGGAUAAUAGGGAAUGAAAUAGCUGAUAAAUUAGCAAAAGAGGCAUUAAAGAAAAACAUGGUGGAAGUUAAAGUCCCUUUGGGUAGAAGUGAAAAAAUCUGA
ensembl:lncRNA